rnacentral:rRNA from 1 species
CCUACGGGAGGCAGCAGUGGGGAAUAUUGCGCAAUGGGCGAAAGCCUGACGCAGCGACGCCGCGUGAGGGAUGAAGGUCUUCGGAUCGUAAACCUCUGUCAGCAGGGAAGAACGGUCACUGUGCUAAUCAGCAGUGCAUUGACGGUACCUGCAAAGGAAGCACCGGCUAACUCCGUGCCAGCAGCCGCGGUAAUACGGAGGGUGCGAGCGUUAAUCGGAAUUACUGGGCGUAAAGCGCUCGUAGGCGGUAUGUCAAGUCAAGGGUGAAAGCCCCGCGCUCAACGGUGGAACUGCCUUUGAAACUGGCAAACUGGAGUGUGUGAGAGGAGAGUGGAAUUCCAGGUGUAGGAGUGAAAUGCGUAGAUAUCGGGAGGAACAUCAGUGGCGAAGGCGACUAUCUGGAACAUAACUGACGCUGAGGAGCGAAAGCGUGGGUAGCAAACAGGAUUAGAUACCCUAGUAGUC